ACCCAGUGUGAUUCGUCACACUAUCAUUAACUGAAUCCAUAGGUUAAUGAGGCGAACCGGGGGAACUGAAACAUCUAAGUACCCCGAGGAAAAGAAAUCAACCGAGAUUCCCCCAGUAGCGGCGAGCGAACGGGGAGCAGCCCAGAGCCUGAAUCAGUGUGUGUGUUAGUGGAAGCGUCUGGAAAGGCGCGCGAUACAGGGUGACAGCCCCGUACACAAAAAUGCACAUGCUGUGAGCUCGAUGAGUAGGGCGGGACACGUGGUAUCCUGUCUGAAUAUGGGGGGACCAUCCUCCAAGGCUAAAUACUCCUGACUGACCGAUAGUGAACCAGUACCGUGAGGGAAAGGCGAAAAGAACCCCGGCGAGGGGAGUGAAAAAGAACCUGAAACCGUGUACGUACAAGCAGUGGGAGCACGCUUAGGCGUGUGACUGCGUACCUUUUGUAUAAUGGGUCAGCGACUUAUAUUCUGUAGCAAGGUUAACCGAAUAGGGGAGCCGAAGGGAAACCGAGUCUUAACUGGGCGUUAAGUUGCAGGGUAUAGACCCGAAACCCGGUGAUCUAGCCAUGGGCAGGUUGAAGGUUGGGUAACACUAACUGGAGGACCGAACCGACUAAUGUUGAAAAAUUAGCGGAUGACUUGUGGCUGGGGGUGAAAGGCCAAUCAAACCGGGAGAUAGCUGGUUCUCCCCGAAAGCUAUUUAGGUAGCGCCUCGUGAAUUCAUCUCCGGGGGUAGAGCACUGUUUCGGCAAGGGGGUCAUCCCGACUUACCAACCCGAUGCAAACUGCGAAUACCGGAGAAUGUUAUCACGGGAGACACACGGCGGGUGCUAACGUCCGUCGUGAAGAGGGAAACAACCCAGACCGCCAGCUAAGGUCCCAAAGUCAUGGUUAAGUGGGAAACGAUGUGGGAAGGCCCAGACAGCCAGGAUGUUGGCUUAGAAGCAGCCAUCAUUUAAAGAAAGCGUAAUAGCUCACUGGUCGAGUCGGCCUGCGCGGAAGAUGUAACGGGGCUAAACCAUGCACCGAAGCUGCGGCAGCGACGCUGAUGCGUUGUUGGGUAGGGGAGCGUUCUGUAAGCCUGCGAAGGUGUGCUGUGAGGCAUGCUGGAGGUAUCAGAAGUGCGAAUGCUGACAUAAGUAACGAUAAAGCGGGUGAAAAGCCCGCUCGCCGGAAGACCAAGGGUUCCUGUCCAACGUUAAUCGGGGCAGGGUGAGUCGACCCCUAAGGCGAGGCCGAAAGGCGUAGUCGAUGGGAAACAGGUUAAUAUUCCUGUACUUGGUGUUACUGCGAAGGGGGGACGGAGAAGGCUAUGUUGGCCGGGCGACGGUUGUCCCGGUUUAAGCGUGUAGGCUGGUUUUCCAGGCAAAUCCGGAAAAUCAAGGCUGAGGCGUGAUGACGAGGCACUACGGUGCUGAAGCAACAAAUGCCCUGCUUCCAGGAAAAGCCUCUAAGCAUCAGGUAACAUCAAAUCGUACCCCAAACCGACACAGGUGGUCAGGUAGAGAAUACCAAGGCGCUUGAGAGAACUCGGGUGAAGGAACUAGGCAAAAUGGUGCCGUAACUUCGGGAGAAGGCACGCUGAUAUGUAGGUGAAGUCCCUCGCGGAUGGAGCUGAAAUCAGUCGAAGAUACCAGCUGGCUGCAACUGUUUAUUAAAAACACAGCACUGUGCAAACACGAAAGUGGACGUAUACGGUGUGACGCCUGCCCGGUGCCGGAAGGUUAAUUGAUGGGGUCAGCGCAAGCGAAGCUCUUGAUCGAAGCCCCGGUAAACGGCGGCCGUAACUAUAACGGUCCUAAGGUAGCGAAAUUCCUUGUCGGGUAAGUUCCGACCUGCACGAAUGGCGUAAUGAUGGCCAGGCUGUCUCCACCCGAGACUCAGUGAAAUUGAACUCGCUGUGAAGAUGCAGUGUACCCGCGGCAAGACGGAAAGACCCCGUGAACCUUUACUAUAGCUUGACACUGAACAUUGAGCCUUGAUGUGUAGGAUAGGUGGGAGGCUUUGAAGUGUGGACGCCAGUCUGCAUGGAGCCGACCUUGAAAUACCACCCUUUAAUGUUUGAUGUUCUAACGUUGACCCGUGAUCCGGGUUGCGGACAGUGUCUGGUGGGUAGUUUGACUGGGGCGGUCUCCUCCUAAAGAGUAACGGAGGAGCACGAAGGUUGGCUAAUCCUGGUCGGACAUCAGGAGGUUAGUGCAAUGGCAUAAGCCAGCUUGACUGCGAGCGUGACGGCGCGAGCAGGUGCGAAAGCAGGUCAUAGUGAUCCGGUGGUUCUGAAUGGAAGGGCCAUCGCUCAACGGAUAAAAGGUACUCCGGGGAUAACAGGCUGAUACCGCCCAAGAGUUCAUAUCGACGGCGGUGUUUGGCACCUCGAUGUCGGCUCAUCACAUCCUGGGGCUGAAGUAGGUCCCAAGGGUAUGGCUGUUCGCCAUUUAAAGUGGUACGCGAGCUGGGUUUAGAACGUCGUGAGACAGUUCGGUCCCUAUCUGCCGUGGGCGCUGGAGAACUGAGGGGGGCUGCUCCUAGUACGAGAGGACCGGAGUGGACGCAUCACUGGUGUUCGGGUUGUCAUGCCAAUGGCACUGCCCGGUAGCUAAAUGCGGAAGAGAUAAGUGCUGAAAGCAUCUAAGCACGAAACUUGCCCCGAGAUGAGUUCUCCCUGACUCCUUGAGAGUCCUGAAGGAACGUUGAAGACGACGACGUUGAUAGGCCGGGUGUGUAAGCGCAGCGAUGCGUUGAGCUAACCGGUACUAAUGAACCGUGAG
rnacentral:rRNA from 1 species